UACGUAGGGUGCGAGCGUUGUCCGGAAUUAUUGGGCGUAAAGCGCGCGCAGGCGGUCAUUUAAGUCUGGUGUUUAAUCCUGGGGCUCAACCCCGGGUCGCACUGGAAACUGGGUGGCUUGAGUACAGAAGAGGAGAGUGGAAUUCCACGUGUAGCGGUGAAAUGCGUAGAUAUGUGGAGGAACACCAGUGGCGAAGGCGACUCUCUGGGCUGUAACUGACGCUGAGGCGCGAAAGCGUGGGGAGCAAACAGG
rnacentral:rRNA from 1 species